AGUUUAUUUAAAGGCAAUCACUAAUCAUAUAUAUAUAUAUAUAUAUAUUAGAUGUACCUGGCUACGCUUAAAGCCGAUGUUUUCUAUCGAGCUAUAGUUUCUGAUCAGACACAAAGUCUGAACUAAAUAAAAUUUUAAACGGUUCACGAAGUCCGGGAAUCUUUUCAUGACCUGGUCUACAGUUUCACGCGUAUUAAAGAUCCGGCGGUGUCUGACAAAGCGUCGGGUGAUUGUUCAUAUCUGUCAUUUAAAAUAAAGUUAAUAAAUGUAAUUCUGUCCACUAUGGCAAAAUAGGAAUUUAUUUUAGAUUUAGGGGAAUCUUUAACCAUGUCUCUGAUUAAAACUUUUGAUUGUAACAUCACAAGUUAUUUAAUUAAAUAUUCUGUAUACGGGUAUAGUUUAAGCAAUGACCUGAGCCAUUACCUUCGGAGCCGUCAAUACUACAUUCUUUAGACGAUAGUCUAAACUAAAUAAAUUUUUAAACGGUUCAGGAAUUCCGUGAAUCUUUUCAUAACCUGCACUAUAGUUUCACGCGUAUUAAAGAUCCGGCGGUGCCUGACAAAGCGCCGGGUGAGUGUUCAUAUCUGCCAUUUUAAAAUAAUGUUAAUAAAUGUAAUUCUGUCCACUAUGGCAAAAUAGGAUUUUAUUUUAGAUUUAGUGGAAUCUUUAACCAAGUCUCUGAUUAAGACAUGUGUAUACGUGCACAGAUGGUGACAGAGAAACUUAUAUAUGACGUUAAUAAUCUUUUAAAUGUUUUUAAGACGUAUUCACCCCAUUUUGGGGUUUUAUUUUUAAUUAAAGGCUUCUUAAAACAUGUGUGAAUAUGUGUAUAUUAUACAAAGAGUCUUAUAUUGUCUGCUCUGACAAAAAUAAAGUAUUUUUUAGGUUUAGGGGAAUUGACUGCGUGUGUCUUAUAAAUACAACUUGAUAAUACGUUUGUUUUGUAAAGAGACUUCUUUAAAGUCACGCAAGAAUAAAAUAUUUUAGUUGUAACUGGUUAAACUUAAAGCCGAUAUUUUCUAUCGAACUAGUCUAUUUUCUGUUCAGACACAAAGUUUUCUGAUGCUGAUAUUAUGUCAGUGUGUGUUUGUGUGGGGGUCGUGUGAUGUAAUCUUUGAAAGUUUAUGACCGAACCUUUAUUGGGGAGCGACAAGAGAUCUCCCGGAAUCAGUUUGGAUGGAGCAGAGCUGUUAUACUCAAGUCUAUUGGUAUGUAUGUGUUUCGCUGUGUUCGUUCCAGUAUUUUGUAUGAUUUAUUUAAAAACUAAAAAUUCGAUCUCUGGUAUUGCAGCGAAAUUGUCUAAACUGGUAUUAACUAUUCCUGGUAAAUCGCGGAGAAGAGUGGCCUGAACAAAAAAGUCAGACCGAGACUAGAACCUCCCGCAGCGUAACACGGAAAUCUUGGAACAAAAGAGACGCCGACUGGCUCGUGUUGUCCGGUUUGGAUAUCAGAGGCAAAGCGAACGUUGUGUGUACUAUUGCAAAAUAUAUAGCGGAUCUCCACGGUUUGGAUAUCAGAGGCAAAGCGAACGUUGUGUGUACUAUUGCAAAAUAUAUAGCGGAUCUCCACGGUUAGGAUACAGACCACAACGCUUUGGACGUAUCUUUAAAAAAGAUUAAAAUCAGAGACUUUUUGGAUUUGUCUGGGGACAUUUUAAACAUUUUGUGGCAAAUUGGAUUUAAAACAUUUCGGAUACUGGAUACCUAGUUUGAUUUGUCCACAGAGCUUGUUUAAGACGUUUUCACCGCAUUUUAGGGUUUAUUUUUAAUUAAAGGCUUCUUAAAACAUGUGUGAAAAUGUGUAUAUUAUACAAUGAGUCUUAUAUUGUCUGCUCUGACAUAAACAAAUUUUUAUAUUAGAUUUUAGAUCAAUUGACUGUGUGUGUUUUAUGUCAAGCGUAUGCUGUUAUGUUUAAUGACGGCUCGUGUGACAGCUUGUGUUUAGGCAUUUGAUGUCAGAUAUCACCCUUCCUCCCUCCUUUCGCACAAGACCUGCAUUCUUUCACAGGGGUGCGUGUUGUAAAGCGAUUAAAGAUUUCUAAAACUCAAUGUUGGUAAAACAAUCCCCCAUUACGGUGCCAAAAAAGUAAAAUGUUUAUUUUAGAUUUAGACAAAUCAUGAACAAUGCUACGAUUAAAACAUUUGUUUGUAACAUCACAAGUUAUUUAAUGAAAUAUUCCGUAUACGUGUAUAGUUUAAGCAAUGAUCUGAGCCAUAACCUUCGGAGCCGGCAAUACUAUAAUCUUUAGACGAAAGUCUAAACUAAAUAAAAUUUUAAACGAUUCAUGAGUUCCGUGAAUCUUUUCAUGACCUGCUCUAUAGAUUCACACGUAUUAAAGAUC